rnacentral:lncRNA from 1 species
AAAACCAAAAAUAACAAAGUAUUUCUAUAGAAACUAAAAGAAAUAUCCAAUACAUCAAAAGAUACAUAUUGAAAAUCAAAAGUCGCUACAAAUUUAACGUAAAAUAUUAUUCGAUACAUAAUAUUCUAUCAUUGAUUAAUAAAAGUUUUGACCUGUUCACUCAAUGUGUUAAUGAUAUUCAUUGCUUGAGCGAGUUGUUGUUCAAACUUUGCUUGAACAUCCAUAUUUUUCUGCUGAAACUCCACAUUCUUUUUCUGAGCAUCCUCAUAUUUUUGUUGAAUCCUCAUAUUGUUCGCGUUGCGUCUCAACUAACUUCUUCAAAUUCUCAAUCUCGACUUUUGUCUUGACAUUAUUAUCUUCAUAUUGUUCGCAAUGUGUUUCAAAAGAUCUUUUACUAGAACGAAUGCGCUUUUCAUAUGAGUCAAAUCCAUAUAAUCUAUUAUUUUUCGAUCAUGUCCCCCAACGACAUCAUAAAAUAGUUUGUCCUCAUCAAUUUCCUCUCUUAUCGUUUCCUACCGAUCACAUCGUUCCAUAAAAUCAUCCUAUAAUUUUAUAAUUGUGUUGAGAUAAAACUUAUACAAAAAAAUCAAAAUAAAACUUACAUGAAAUUAUUCAAAAUAAAGCUUACAUGAAUUUUUUUAGCUUUGUCAACUAAAAAAAGUCAUUCCAUCCUGAUUCUUAGUGUGUAUACAAGAAUAGUUCAUGGUGUGCCAAAUCAUGUCCCCAAAGCUUCUUCUACAUAUAUACAAAAAAAAAAUCAAUAUUAAAGUAGAUUGCUAUUUUUACAGUUAGGCUUAGAUAUUGUAAAAAUAUUUAAAACAAACAACUUUAUUUUAUAAAACAAAAGGAGUUCGUAAAAAAAUAAAACACAAAGUUAUGAAAAAAGAAAUUAAAACGUAAACACUAAAUUCAUAAUAAAGAUAAACUUUGGAUAUAAUCUUGGAAAAAAAAUUGUUAAACAACGCAUACUAUAUAAUAUCCACUUGUUUAUAAUUUAUACUUUUAUAAUAAUACGUAAGAAUCAAUAUUGAAUUGAAGAUACUAAUAAAAUUUUAUAAUAAAAUAAAUAAUGAAGUAUACAUUUUAAAGAAAUAAGUUUAUAAAUAAAUUAGUAAAUCAUAAUAAUAAUAAAUAAUAAAUAUAAAAUAUGAAUAAAAGAUACUAACAAAGAAUAUAAAUACGUUAUGAUAGUUUAAGGGCCUCAAUGUAAAUUUUUGAAAUGAUAAAAGUAAAUAUCGGUGAUUGAGUGGGGCACACCCCUAUAUUUGCAAAUGGAUCGUAAAAGACCCUAUUUUUACAAAGCCAACCGGUAAUGACCCUAUUUUUGCAAAAACUCAUUAUACCAUACAUUCAAUAGAGAGAAGAAGAAACUUUUGCUUAUGUUGUUACACAAUAAAAGAAUACUAAAAGAUGAAAUAACAUGGUUUAAGAUAUUACCUCUAUAUCAAUUUGGCCGAUAAAGAACUUAAUUUGUUAGGAUUUAUAAUAGUAGAUCAGAUUCAGGGCACCUGCACCAAAUCACUUAUCAAUUUCUUCUUUUGUUUCUCACUGUUUACUUACUACUGUUACUAAUAAGUAAUAACAGAUCUUUAACUGGAAUUUUCUUAGCCGACAUAACAUACAUUACAGCACUUGGGAUGACUUAACCACAGAAGUUCAGCUGAUGAUACGAUUACUUUUGUUGUUUUAGCUUAAUUUCUAAGAUUUUAAAACAUAACAAGGUCAUCUCUCUCUUGAUCAGUUUCUUCUUUCUUCCCCACUUUGGAUAACUUAAGGGAUUUGUUACUAUCUCAUCUUUCAGAGACACAUACAUCAUUAUUGCCACUUCAUCAUAUUUUUGGUGUUAUAAGUUAUCAGGUAGUUUCUUGAACAUAAGACGCUAAACAGCAAGAAGAAGCCCUAUGUAGCUAAAAAUCAUUGGGAUAAAGAUAGCAGCUUUAGCUUGAAAUCUUGGAAAUCUUCACCAAAAAGUGUCAAUCCGGAUCACAUUGUCCCAUUUACCAACAGUUGCUACAUUGUAGAUGAAUCGGCAUGGAAAACAACAAGCCCUAGUAGUAGUAAUUGCUUUCACAAACGUGCUCUAGAACACUGCAAAUCAGGAUAUUGGAAAUGAAUUUUGAGGGUUGAGGCUAGGAGGCUCUAUGUUUUACUUACACUAUAACUAACCAUCAUGGACUUUGUCAUAAAAGAAAUCUACUUGAAACAAGUGCUAAGAUAAAUGAAACUCCAUCAGAACAGGAUGCAAAAUCGAGCACAAAGACAGCUUCAGUCAUUGAGAAUCCUCCACAAAAGAAUACUAUGUACCCUAAUCUUCUGCUAAAUGAUGAAGACCACCUAUCUGACUUUCUGUGUACGUAUUAUUUAUUGAAAACUGCUCAAAACAGAUGCCUAACUGACAAAACAGAGCAUGGGCAUCUUAAUCCUAGCAACUCUGGUGUUAAUAUGAAUGCUCAAGUUCUAAAAAGCUCCAAAAAGUAUAUGGACGCAGUAGAACGAAAGAUGCAUUAAUCUAAUCAAUAGUAAUCAUAUAGAAGCACAACCACACAUGAACUUCUCAGAAACUAUUGCUCUCCCAAUUGGCUAAUUCCCCCACAUGCAUAUUAUAUAGUAUUAUAACUGCGUGUACGGAUUAAUAGAGUUAACAUAACAUUAACUCGCAUCAGAUUCAAUGGAGAGAUCAAUAUCCUUCAAAUCAUUGGAUGAUAAAGAGAAAAUGGAGCAAAAAGAAGAUAGAAGAAUGUUACCUGGUAGGGAUGAAGACAAUCAAGAAAAAUCUACCAGUUGAUGGAGCAGGAAUCGAACGACAAAGCUAAUGAGAGUGAGAGGAGCUCCGAUCGAUAAUGGCGUAAGUGAUCUGAAGAAUGAGGAAUGCGAUCGGCUACAGGUCAUGUGAUUGACAAAUUUGAUUUGAUUUGGAGAAGAAGACUUAUUUGGGGAAAUGUCGCCCUAGAUUGUUUCAAUCAAGGUAAUCAAGGUCACCA